AAGGGUAUAGUUCAGUGGUAGAGCAUAUACUUAUCAUGUGCGAGGUCCUGGGUUCAAUCCCCAGUACCCCCA
rnacentral:tRNA from 1 species